rnacentral:rRNA from 1 species
GCGGCUUGUCACGUCUGCUGUGAAAUCCCGGGGCUCAACCCCGGGCGUGCAGUGGAUACGGGCUGGCUAGAGGCAGGCAGGGGAGAACGGAAUUCCCGGUGUAGCGGUGAAAUGCGCAGAUAUCGGGAGGAACACCGGUGGCGAAGGCGGUUCUCUGGGCCUGUUCUGACGCUGAGGAGCGAAAGCGUGGGGAGCAAACAGGAUUAGAUACCCUGGUAGUCCACGCCGUAAACGUUGGGCGCUAGGUGUGGGUCCCUUCCACGGGGUCUGUGCCGCAGCUAACGCAUUAAGCGCCCCGCCUGGGGAGUACGGCCGCAAGGCUAAAACUCAAAGGAAUUGA